rnacentral:rRNA from 1 species
AGAGUUUGAUCCUGGCUCAGAACGAACGCUGGCGGCAGGCUUAACACAUGCAAGUCGAACGCAUCCUUCGGGGUGAGUGGCAGACGGGUGAGUAACGCGUGGGAACGUGCCCUUCAGUUCGGAAUAACCCAGGGAAACUUGGGCUAAUACCGGAUACGCCCGCAAGGGGAAAGAUUGAUCGCUGAAGGAUCGGCCCGCGUCUGAUUAGCUGGUUGGUGGGGUAAUGGCCUACCAAGGCGACGAUCAGUAGCUGGUCUGAGAGGAUGAUCAGCCACAUUGGGACUGAGACACGGCCCAAACUCCUACGGGAGGCAGCAGUGGGGAAUAUUGGACAAUGGGCGCAAGCCUGAUCCAGCCAUGCCGCGUGAGUGAUGACGGCCUUAGGGUUGUAAAGCUCUUUCGGCGGGGACGAUAAUGACGGUACCCGCAGAAGAAGCCCCGGCUAACUUCGUGCCAGCAGCCGCGGUAAUACGAAGGGGGCUAGCGUUGUUCGGAAUCACUGGGCGUAAAGGGCGCGUAGGCGGCUUUGUAAGUCGGGGGUGAAAGCCUGUGGCUCAACCACAGAAUUGCCUUCGAUACUGCAUGGCUUGAGACCGGAAGAGGUUAGUGGAACUGCGAGUGUAGAGGUGAAAUUCGUAGAUAUUCGCAAGAACACCAGUGGCGAAGGCGGCUGACUGGUCCGGUUCUGACGCUGAGGCGCGAAAGCGUGGGGAGCAAACAGGAUUAGAUACCCUGGUAGUCCACGCCGUAAACGAUGAAUGCCAGCCGUUGGGCAGCUUGCUGCUCAGUGGCGCAGCUAACGCUUUAAGCAUUCCGCCUGGGGAGUACGGUCGCAAGAUUAAAACUCAAAGGAAUUGACGG